rnacentral:rRNA from 1 species
GAUGAACGCUGACAGAAUGCUUAACACAUGCAAGUCAACUUGAAAUUCGGUUUUGGUGGCGGACGGGUGAGUAACGCGUAAAGAACUUGCCUCACAGCUAGGGACAACAUUUGGAAACGAAUGCUAAUAACUGUUAUUAUGAUUCUAUGGCAUCGUUCAAUUUUGAAAGUUAUAUGCGCUGUGAGAGAGCUUUUCGUCCCAUUAGCUAGUUGGAGAGGUAACAGCUCACCAAGGCGAUGAUGGGUAGCCGGCCUGAGAGGGUGAUCGGCCACAAGGGGACUGAGACACGGCCCUUACUCCUACGGGAGGCAGCAGUGGGGAAUAUUGGACAAUGGACCGAGAGUCUGAUCCAGCAAUUCGGUGUGCACGAUGAAGUUUUUCGGAAUGUAAAGUGCUUUCAGUUGGGAAGAAAAAAAUGACGGUACCAACAGAAGAAAUGACGGCUAAAUACGU